rnacentral:sRNA from 1 species
AGAACCUACCAAAUCCUUGAUUUGACACUACGGAGUACAUGUACUUACUGUACAUCGUAUGGAUGCAGCUGCACAUAUAUGCUCUGCACAUACAUACACCGUACUGCGUAGACUACUACGGAUAUCCAUGACAACCAACGCGAGAAAACUUCCCAAGUGCCUGAUUGGGGGCUUGCAGCGCUAAAAUAAUAAUAAUAAUAAUAAUAAAUAAAUAACAAUAAGAAUAAGAAAAAACUCAGGACGGCGCGUGGAAGGAAGAGCUGAGAGAGCAAAGCAGGGCAGGGCAUUCUCUGAAACAGGCCAGACCUGGCGAUCAUACAACAAACACUACAGAUCAUACCUCAGACGAUGUCGUCAACAGACAAGCGCCGGGGCUGGAGACGGUGGAGAAUGGCGGGAUGCCAGUGUCUCGCUCUGUGGGUUUUAUCUUCCCUGGCGGAGAGAUGAAUUUCACCGAGGACGAGCGACAUCAGAAUCUGAACAUCUCCGAGUCAUCCAUUCCCGAUCUGGCGCUGUCACGGAUGCUGGGCUCAGCCUGAUGCCGGCUAGUGGGCAGAGACAUUUGCCACCCGAGAGAAGAAGAAGAAGAAGAAGA